UGUCACGGUCCGGCGUUGAUGGGUUAUCACUCGUAAUCUUCUGCUUGCAGGAGGCCCGUUCUUCAGGCAUCUGUCUGUUGAACAACCCCGCGUUCCUCACGGUUCGCACCCCCUUCCCAUCAGCACCAACUUGACCGUUAU
rfam:Caenorhabditis briggsae complete genome, chrV